rnacentral:rRNA from 1 species
GGAAUAUUGGACAAUGGGGGCAACCCUGAUCCAGCCAUGCCGCGUGUGUGAAGAAGGCCUUCGGGUUGUAAAGCACUUUCAGUAGGGAGGAAGGCUGUACGGUUAAUAGCCGUGCGGAUUGACGUUACCUACAGAAGCAGCACCGGCUAACUCCGUGCCAGCAGCCGCGGUAAUACGGAGGGUGCAAGCGUUAAUCGGAAUUACGGGGCGUAAAGCGCGCGUAGGCGGUUUGCUAAGUGAGAUGUGAAAGCCCUGGGCUUAACCUGGGAAUUGCACCUCAUACUGGCAGGCUAGAGUACGGUAGAGGGGGGUAGAAUUCCACGUGUAGCGGUGAAAUGCGUAGAGAUGUGGAGGAAUACCAGUGGCGAAGGCGGCCCCCUGGCACAAUACUGACGCUCAGGUGCGAAAGCGUGGGGAGCAAAC